AGUCCCUCCUUUCGGACUGGAAGAUGAGACACUUAGGACGUCUGAACCACGUUGCUCUUUUCCCCAACGCAACAUGAUUUUUUUGGGGCCAAUUCCAUGACCAGGCCGGGACGUAUGUAUAUGUAACGCUGAGUAAUGCUAAUUGGCUUGUAAUAUUAGUCGUAGUAGUGGUAGGACGUACUGGGGUCACUGUAAAGGCGUUGGUUAGCUGUGUGACCUGUGUAGCGUGUAGCUUAGCAGCUCACGUGGUGACCACGUGGGAGACAGACAAAGCUCGUUUUCGUUAUUUUUAUUUUUUAUAGCAGGUUAGGGCAGACUAAAUGAAGUAUGUCACAUUCAUUAGCAUGACAUAGCGUUUUAGUGGAGUAAUUUUCCCCAUCUAUUAAUUUGUAUCUCAUACAUUGAGAAGUACUCAGUCAAGAACAGUAACGAUGUAUAUUUUUGUGUGUAAUAAAAUAUAAAAAAAAUAACUGGAAAAAUAUAUUUUAUAAUUUUAAUUUUUUUUAUUCCUGGUAGCACUUUUAAAAAUAUUAAUUAAUAGUAGUAAUUAAACUGUAUGAAUUGUCUUUUUAUUGUGAUUUUCUUAUUUUCAAGAUGAAUAUGUAAUCAUCCAUCCAUUUUCUGUACCGCUUUAUCCUCACAAUGGUCGUGGGCGUGUUGGAACGUAUCCCAGUUAUCUUAGGGGGAGAGGCGGGGUACACCCUGAACUGGUCGCCAGCCAAUCACAGGGGCACAUAUAAACAAACAACCAUUCUCGCAUACAUUCACAUCUAAGGGCAAUUGAGAGUUUCCAAUCAACCUACCACGCAUGUUUUUGGGAUGUUGGAGGAAACCGGAGUACCUGGAGAAAACCCACACCGGCACGGGGAGAACAUGCAAACUCCGCACAGACGGGACCGGGAUUUGAACCCCGAUCCUCAGAACUGUGAGGCAGAUGUGCUAACCAGUCGGCCGUCCAAAUGUAUUUAUUUAAAGUUUGAAUAUUAAAAUAGUAAAAUAUCCAUCCACCCAUUGAACUGGAAUUAACGCACUAAGUCAAUGAUGUCCUCUUGAACACAAUGCGAUUGACUUUCGGUCCAGUUUGUGACUUUUUGAAGGGUGCCAUCUAUUGACUUGCAUCUCCUCCCUUGAGGUGAAGUUAUUAAUCAUCCGGGUAGACAGGUGAAAGUGUCUAUAUUUGUAGUUGGACAAAGGGGAUGUGGACUCUCAGCCAUUAUUUAUCCGCUCCUUGCGACUAGAGGACGCAAGGUCGUGGCAGAGGUUGUGACCCGCUGUUGAACCCUCGGCCUCGGACGCGCCACGCCGCUUUUGCUCCCAAGCUGCGUCGCGGCGUCGCACUCUGACCUUUGGGUGAUCCGUCAGCGGUACUGGCGAUCCCGUCGGUACCCGCUCUGCUAAUCAAUAGAUCUCACUUGGAGGGAUCAGGUGACUUAACUAUGAUUUUUCUUCUUUGAAUUUUUAUUUACAGUGGCACCGAUGAAGAGUGGACAUUCUACCAGCGGGCCAGCACAGUUUUAAAGCAAGAACAAGCAACCUUCAGCGCUGAUGACAAGAUAAGCAGCAAGACAGGCGUGAAAUCUGAUCUUCGGCCAUCUCUGAUGAACGGCAGGAUUGACGGACUGUAAAUUGGAAGGCUUGCUCCAUCUUGUCUAUGGUAAACGGCGGUAUUAACAGACAAGGAAAGAAAGCCUACUCUGGCUCAUCUUGCGUAAGUAUAUAGAGGGUUCCCUAAAAGUCACAAAACACGUCCUUUUUUUAAAAUUUCAGGUGUCAUUCAGACAGAUGUAAGACCAUCAGCAUUUGACAGCUCAAACUUUGUGGUUUUUGUAAGUAUAUCAUUCCUUUAUUCAUAGUUUGCCAAUUCACGUUGAAGCAGCAUUGCAAAACUGCUUUUGUUUUUCUGUCCUCAACUACAGUUCAGUGCCAGUUUGAGAAGCUUUAUGGCCGUCAAACGGCUGUGUAGUACAAAUUAGGUUAUCCAUGGCAAGUUUCUAGAAACACGAUUUCUUCUUGACAAACUAUGCAGUAGUAGGCCUGCUGCUACUACCACUGAUGAAAAUACCAAUUUCCUAGAGCAGGUGUUCACGCAAAGUUAGUUAGGCUGCACUAGAACUCGGCAUCCACAAAAGCUCAAUUCAUCGCAUGCUUCGGAGAGUGAUAAUGCUUUAUCCAUAUCGACUUCAGGUUAUUGGGUAUCAUCUUUUGUUUGAAGCCUUUGAACAACCGGAAGUCCAUACAGGUAAAUACAUUUUUUUUAAAAGCAUCGGCUGAAUCGAGCAUUUGUUGAUGCUGAGUUCCAGUGCCCCACUCUGGAUUGACUUUCCCAGGCUUUGCACAAACGCCUGCUCUAGCAGUUCGGUGUUUUUUUGUUUUGUCCCCCCCGGACAGUCAGAAAAACCUAUUGUCGGGUACCAAUUGGCGAUCCACGGGCAAAGGAAUGAUAUGCUUAUAAAAACUGAAAAGUGUAAGCUGCCAUAUGCUGUUGCUUUCACGUCUGUCCGAAUGAUACCUGAAACAAAAUAGAAAGUGUAGUGACAUUUGGGACUAACUGUUCUGUAAGGUGUUAAGUAAAAAUGGUGUCAAACUGUCACAUGCUGUCCUGAACUGUAAUUUUGUGAAAUAAAAAACUACAAAAUAUCA